rnacentral:rRNA from 1 species
GUCUGUGUGAUUAAAAAUAUUAAGUCUGGCCUGCCCACUGAUAUAUUUAAAGGGCUGCGGUAAUUUGACCGUGCGAAGGUAGCAUAAUCAAUAGUCUCUUAAUUGGAGGCUUGAAUGAACGGUCUGACAAGAAAAUAGCUGUCUUGGUAACUACAGCUGAAUUUAACAUCUGUGUGAAAAGGCACAGAUAUUCUAGAGGGACGAUAAGACCCUAUAAAACUUUACGUUUAAAUUCUGUUCUUGAGAAAUUAAGUGUUAAUUAAGUAAAAUUUCGAGCGUUUUGCUGGGGUGGCAGGGAUAAAACAAAAAUAACUGUUCUUGUGAAUUAAAUAAGUGUUCUUAGAGGUUGAUCCCUUAUUGGGGAUUAUAAGAUUAAGUUACUUUAGGGAUAACAGCGUGAUUUCUCUUGAGAGUUCCUAUCGACAGAGUUAGUUGCGACCUCGAUGUUGAAUUAAAGUUUCCCUUAAGAGCAGAAGCUUAAGUGGUAGGUCUGUUCGACCUUUAACAGCUUUACAUGAUUUGAGUUCAAACCGGUGUGAG